AUUGAACGCUGGCGGCAGGCCUAACACAUGCAAGUCGAACGGUAGCACAGAGAGCUUGCUCUCGGGUGACGAGUGGCGGACGGGUGAGUAACGUCUGGGAAACUGCCCGAUAGAGGGGGAUAACCACUGGAAACGGUGGCUAAUACCGCAUAACGUCGCAAGACCAAAGAGGGGGACCUUCGGGCCUCCCACUAUCGGAUGAACCCAGAUGGGAUUAGCUAGUAGGCGGGGUAACGGCCCACCUAGGCGACGAUCCCUAGCUGGUCUGAGAGGAUAACCAGCCAGACUGGAACUGAGACACGGUCCAGACUCCUACGGGAGGCAGCAGUGGGGAAUAUUGCACAAUGGGCGCAAGCCUGAUGCAGCCAUGCCGCGUGUAUGAAGAAGGCCUUCGGGUUGUAAAGUACUUUCAGCGGGGAGGAAGGCGAUGUGGUUAAUAACCGCAUUGAUUGACGUUACCCGCGGAAGAAGCACCGGCUAACUCCGUGCCAGCCGCCGCCGUAA
rnacentral:rRNA from 1 species